rnacentral:misc_RNA from 1 species
GCAAAAUGGCCGCCGCCACCGCUGCCACCGUCACCGCCCUCACAGCCGCUGCCCGAUCCCCCUUCGCCCGCUUCCUUUCUCGCCGCUCCUUCCUCGGCUCCUGCUCCCCUCCUGCCGCCGGCCUCCGCCUCUCUCGCUCCGCCAUCUCCCACCCCUCCGUCCGUACCAUGACCCCCGGAGCUGCACGUCUGACUGCGAUCCGUUGCAGGGUCCAACGAUCCGGCGACUCCGCCUACUCGCCCCUCAACUCCGGCACCGGGAGCUUCAGCGACCGCCCGCCGACUGAGAUGGCGCCGCUGUUCCCCGGUUGUGAUUACGAGCACUGGCUCAUCGUUAUGGAUAAGCCCGGCGGCGAGAAUGCAACGAAGAGUGAAAUGAUCGAUGUUUAUGUUAAGACCCUUGCCAAGGUUCUCGGCAGUGAGGAGGAAGCUAAACAGAAGAUAUAUAAUGUCUCUUGUGAGAGAUACUUUGGUUUUGGAUGCGAGAUUGAUGAGGAGACAUCUAACAAGCUUGAAGGUCUGCCUGGCGUUCUUUUUGUGCUCCCAGAUUCUUAUGUUGAUGCUGAGAACAAGGAUUAUGGAGCGGAGCUAUUUGUGGAUGGGCAAAUUGUUCAAAGAUCGCCAGAAAGGCAAAGAAGGGUAGAGCCGGUGCCCCAGAGAGCCCAAGACAGGCCGAGGUACAAUGACAGAACCCGCUACGUGAGGCGCAGAGAGAACCAACGUUAGAAUUCAGGUCUGGUUGAGUGAAUGAAUUGUUAGAGAUGUGGGAUCUGAUGUUAUUAUUAAGUUUGUAAGUGUCUGAGGCUUGGACUUGUUCUAUCUAUUUAUGUAAUUUGGUUCUAUCUAUUGAUGUAGGACAUAAGCUGUGUUUU